GACAUAAAGAUGGAAGAUUCUGAAAUGGAGAUGGACUCAGUGAGUAGACUAGGACACUCCAGGGAAGCUGAAGAGGAGGGUGAUGGAAUGACUUUGGUGAGAAUCUGGUGUCCAGCAAGGGUCAACCCACCACAACAUCUCCUCCAAAAACUGUUUUGGCAGUGCUGUAAGGUCAAUUGCUAAGUCCUGGCAGCUUAUAAGAGCACAUCAGGUGUGGAAAGCAUUUGCAGAAUACUUAAUGACCACAUGCUAAAGAUUUUAAAGUUCAAUAGCACCAUCAGAACAGUCUUCUGGGGAGUCGUCUGAGAGUUAUCUGGAAAUGAACAUUAAACUCCAAGGACACUUUCUUAUACAUGCAUAUCAAAGGUAGUAGAAAAGGCUCGAUGUUUACUGCUGACAAACUGAUAGGCAGUGCAGAGCUUCACCAGUGUU